rnacentral:rRNA from 1 species
UGGGGAAUAUUGCACAAUGGGCGCAAGCCUGAUGCAGCCAUGCCGCGUGUGUGAAGAAGGCCUUCGGGUUGUAAAGCACUUUCAGCGAGGAGGAAGGUGGUGAGCUUAAUACGCUCAUCAAUUGACGUUACUCGCAGAAGAAGCACCGGCUAACUCCGUGCCAGCAGCCGCGGUAAUACGGAGGGUGCAAGCGUUAAUCGGAAUUACUGGGCGUAAAGCGCACGCAGGCAGUUUGUUAAGUCAGAUGUGAAAUCCCCGGGCUCAACCUGGGAACUGCAUUUGAAACUGGCAAGCUAGAGUCUCGUAGAGGGGGGUAGAAUUCCAGGUGUAGCGGUGAAAUGCGUAGAGAUCUGGAGGAAUACCGGUGGCGAAGGCGGCCCCCUGGACGAAGACUGACGCUCAGGUGCGAAAAGCGUGGGGAGCAAAACAGGAUUAGAUACCCUGGUAGUCCACGCUGUAAAACGAUGUCGAUUUUGGAGGUUGUGCCCUUGAGGCGUGGNUUCCGGAGCUAACGCGUUAAAUCGACCGCCUGGGGAGUACGGCCGCAAGGUUAAAACUUAAAUGAAUUGAC